AUUGAACGCUGGCGGCAGGCCUAACACAUGCAAGUCGAGCGGUAGAGAGGUGCUUGCAUCUCUUGAGAGCGGCGGACGGGUGAGUAAUGCCUAGGAAUCUGCCUAGUGUGGGGGAUAACGUUCGGAAACGGACGCUAAUACCGCAUACGUCCUACGGGAGAAAGCGGGGGACCUUCGGGCCUUGCGCUAUCAGAUGAGCCUAGGUCGGAUUAGCUAGUUGGUGAGGUAAUGGCUCACCAAGGCGACGAUCCGUAACUGGUCUGAGAGGAUGAUCAGUCACACUGGAACUGAGACACGGUCCAGACUCCUACGGGAGGCAGCAGUGGGGAAUAUUGGACAAUGGGCGAAAGCCUGAUCCAGCCAUGCCGCGUGUGUGAAGAAGGUCUUCGGAUUGUAAAGCAC
rnacentral:rRNA from 1 species